rnacentral:rRNA from 1 species
GUAAGUAAACAAUAUGAAAACAAAAAAUUAUGGCGGUAUCUUAAGCUUUUCAGAGGAAUUUGCUCUUUAAUGGAUAAAACACCCAAAUCUUACUAAAAUUAGUUAAUACAGUUUGUAUACCACUAUAAAAGUAAUAAUUAAUAAUUAUUACUUCAAUUGUUUACAAUACUAAAAAAUUAAGUCAAGGUGCAGCAAAAAUUUUAGAAUGAAGUGAAUUACAAAGCUUAAAAGAAAUACAAAAUGAAAAUUACUUAGGAUUUGAAAGUAAAAAUUUAAUAAUAUGAUUUUUUGAAUUAAGUUCUGAGAUAUGUAC